rnacentral:rRNA from 1 species
CCUACGGGUGGCUGCAGUGGGGAAUAUUGCACAAUGGGGGAAACCCUGAUGCAGCGACGCCGCGUGAGGGAAGAAGGAAUUCGGGAUGGAAAGCUCUAUUAGCAGGGAAGAAAAUUACGGUACCUGAGUAAGAAGCCCCGGCUAACGACGUCCCAGCAGCCGCGGUAACACGUAGGGGGCAAGCGUUAUCCGGAUUUACUGGGGUUAAAGGGAGCGUAGACGGCAGUGCAAGUCUGGAGUGAAAGGCGGGGGCUCAACCCCCGGACUGCUCUUGAAACUGUACGGCUGGAGUGCAGGAGAGGUAAGUGGAAUUCCUGGUGUAGCGGUGAAAUGCGUAGAUAUUAGGAGGAACACCAGUGGCGAAGGCGGCUUACUGGACUGUAACUGACGUUGAGGCUCGAAAGCGUGGGGAGCAAACAGGAUUAGAUACCCUUGUAGUC